rnacentral:rRNA from 1 species
AGCAGCCGCCGCGGUAAUACGGAGGGUGCAAGCGUUAAUCGGAAUUACUGGGCGUAAAGCGCACGCAGGCGGUCUGUCAAGUCAGAUGUGAAAUCCCCGGGCUUAACCUGGGAACUGCAUUUGAAACUGGCAGGCUAGAGUCUUGUAGAGGGGGGUAGAAUUCCAGGUGUAGCGGUGAAAUGCGUAGAGAUCUGGAGGAAUACCGGUGGCGAAGGCGGCCCCCUGGACAAAGACUGACGCUCAGGUGCGAAAGCGUGGGGAGCAAACAGGAUUAGAUACCCCAGUAGUCCCUGUCUCUUAUAC